AACGAACGUUAGCGGCGCGCCUAAUACAUGCAAGUCGUACGCGACUGGGGCAACUCAGUUGAGUGGCGCACGGGUGAGUAACACGUAGGUAAUCUCCCCUCGAGUGGUGGAUAACCCUCCGAAAGGAGGGCUAAUACAGCAUAAGACCACGGCUUCGAAAGGAGCUGAGGUCAAAGCGGAGGAUCGCAAGACUUCGCGCUUGAGGAUGAGCCUGUGGCACAUCAGGUAGUUGGCGGGGUAAUGGCCCACAAAGCCUAAGACGGGGAGCUGGUCUGAGAGGAGGAUCAGCCACACUGGAACUGAGACACGGUCCAGACUCCUACGGGAGGCAGCAGUAGGGAAUCUUGCGCAAUGGACGAAAGUCUGACGCAGCGACGCCGCGUGGGUGAUGAAGGCCUUCGGGUUGUAAAGCCCUGUGGGGAGGGAUGAAUAAGUUCCGGUUAAUACCCGGAGCGAUGACGGUACCUCUUUAGCAAGCACCGGCUAACUCUGUGCCAGCAGCCGCCGUAACAC
rnacentral:rRNA from 1 species